AUCCCAUGAUAUGGGUAUCUUUGCAGUAAUUCUUUAAAUCUCUCCCAAGCCUCAUACAAGGACUCACCAUCAAAUUGUGUGAAUGAGGUGAUAUAGUUCCUCAACUU
rnacentral:snoRNA from 1 species